AUUGAACGCUGGCGGCAGGCCUAACACAUGCAAGUCGAGCGGUAGAGAGAAGCUUGCUUCUCUUGAGAGCGGCGGACGGGUGAGUAAAGCCUAGGAAUCUGCCUGGUAGUGGGGGAUGACGUUCGGAAACGGACGCUAAUACCGCAUACGUCCUACGGGAGAAAGCAGGGGAUCUUCGGGCCUUGCGCUACCAGAUGAGCCCAGGUCGGAUUAGCUAGUUGGUGAGGUAAUGGCUCACCAAGGCGACGAUCCGUAACUGGUCUGAGAGGAUGAUCAGUCACACUGGAACUGAGACACGGUCUAGACUCCUACGGGAGGCAGCAGUGGGGAAUAUUGGACAAUGGGCGAAAGCCUGAUCCAGCCAUGCCGCGUGUGUGAAGAAGGUCUUCGGAUUGUAAAGCACUUUAAGUUGGGAGGAAGGGCAUUAACCUAAUACGUUAGUGUUUUGACGUUACCGACAGAAUAAGCACCGGCUAACUCUGUGCCAGCCGCCGCGGUAA
rnacentral:rRNA from 1 species